UCUGUGGCUAAAGUGCUUCUUGUAUUUUUUAGUCUCUUGCAAUGCCUGAAAUGACAGUAUUGAACGCAGUAGAGGUACAUCAUCUGAUGCAGAACGACAACGGAGAUGCUCUGCAGCACUGACCCCGUUCAGAGGAAUAAUCCAGCUCUCUUCCAUCUGCCACCAUUUUCCCCUCACUUUACCAGAUGACAACGGACAAAUAUAUAUCCUGAGCCAAAGAAAAGGAGCCAACAGUCCUCUCUUUCUCUCUCUCUCUCACUCUCACUCUCACACUCACUCUCACUCUCACUCUCACCCUCACUCACACUCACACUCACACUUCACACUUCACACUUCACCUUCACACUUCCAGGGCUGAGGCCACAACUCUUCUUCUCCUGCCACUGGCAUUCUGGAGUUACUGUUGCAGACAUGAAUAAAAGCUCCCCUCCUUGUGUUUUAAUGAGGAGAAUGGGAGAACUAAUAAAUGUCCGUCUGUCAAGAGUCUCUAAAAACAAGACUUGGAUUAAGGGAACACGGUGGUCUUGAAUGUCACCCCUUGCCUUCAGCUGUCCGUUCAGCCCAAAGAUAAUAUGUUCAUGUGAAUGGGAAGAA